rnacentral:rRNA from 1 species
UACGGAGGGUGCAAGCGUUGUUCGGAUUUACUGGGCGUAAAGAGCGUGUAGGCGGCCAAGCAGGUCAGCUGUGAAAACUCGAGGCUCAACCUCGAGACGUCGGUUGAAACCGCUUGGCUAGAGUCCGGAAGAGGAGAGUGGAAUUCCCGGUGUAGCGGUGAAAUGCGCAGAUAUCGGGAAGAACACCCGUGGCGAAGGCGGCUCUCUGGGACGGUACUGACGCUGAGACGCGAAAGCGUGGGGAGCGAACAGG